CGUGUAGGCGGGCAAUCAAGUCAGAUGUAAAAAGGCGACGGCUUAACCGUAGUAUGUCAUCUGAUACUGGUUGUCUUGAGUUCGAGAGAGGGUGGUGGAAUUCCCGGUGUAGCGGUGAAAUGCGUAGAUAUCGGGAAGAACACCUGAAGCGAAGGCGGCCACCUGGAUCGACACUGACGCUGAGGCGCGAAAGCGUGGGUAGCAAACA
rnacentral:rRNA from 1 species